rnacentral:rRNA from 1 species
GACAGAGGGUGCAAACGUUGUUCGGAUUUACUGGGCGUAAAGCGCGUGUAGGCGGCUUGGCAAGUUGGAUGUGAAAGCCCACGGCUCAACCGUGGAAGCGCAUCCAAAACUGCUUCGCUCGAGUCUCGGAGAGGAAGGUGGAAUGCUUGGUGUAGAGGUGAAAUUCGUAGAUAUCAAGCAGAACACCUGCGGCGAAGGCGGCCUUCUGGACGAUGACUGGCGCUGAGACGCGAAAGCGUGGGGAGCAAACAGG